UCGAACGGAGCUUAGAGAGCUUGCUUUUUAAGCUUAGUGGCGAACGGGUGAGUAACGCGUGAGUAACCUGCCCUAGAGUGGGGGACAACAGUUGGAAACGACUGCUAAUACCGCAUAAGCCCACGGUGCCGCAUGACACUGAGGGAAAAGGAUUUAUUCGCUUUAGGAUGGACUCGCGUCCAAUUAGCUAGUUGGUGAGGUAACGGCCCACCAAGGCGACGAUUGGUAGCCGGACUGAGAGGUUGAACGGCCACAUUGGGACUGAGACACGGCCCAGACUCCUACGGGAGGCAGCAGUGGGGGAUAUUGCACAAUGGGGGAAACCCUGAUGCAGCGACGCCGCGUGGAGGAAGAAGGUUUUCGGAUUGUAAACUCCUGUCGUUAGGGACGAUAAUGACGGUACCUAACAAGAAAGCACCGGCUAACUACGUGCCAGCAGCCGCGGUAAAACGUAGGGUGCAAGCGUUGUCCGGAAUUACUGGGUGUAAAGGGAGCGCAGGCGGGAAGACAAGUUGGAAGUGAAAACCAUGGGCUCAACCCAUGAAUUGCUUUCAAAACUGUUUUUCUUGAGUAGUGCAGAGGUAGAUGGAAUUCCCGGUGUAGCGGUGGAAUGCGUAGAUAUCGGGAGGAACACCAGUGGCGAAGGCGGUCUACGGGGCACCAACUGACGCUGAG
rnacentral:rRNA from 1 species